UCCAUCACACCUUAAAACUAAACAUAUUUUCUUUUAGUUUCUAACGGAUGGAGGUCUUUAAAAGAAAAAAACAAGGAUCUGGGUAUCUGUCUGAUUUCUCAAUCUAAAGCUGCUGUGGCACAUGAAAAGGCUCUCAUUACCAGUGCAAGAGCUCCAGCACAGUAGCAGCCCACAAGGAAACUUUUCAUGAUGGCCCCUGUGGUCAGAUAACCUGGUGGAAAAUGAGAGCCUGGCUGAUGUAGCCCCAGCUGCUGGUGGGCGAUCUGUAGUGGAGGAAAAGCAGCAGCAAUAACAGGAGGACGAUGCUGCCCGAGGAGUACACAGGAUUAAUGACGAACAUCAUGGUCAAACAGCUCAGAAUCCCCAGGAGGCAAGUGUGCCAGGAGAAGAGCUGGAAGACUGAGAGCCAUCUUUAAUAUACAGUCUAUGUUCAUUACCUGAAAUUUGGUGCUGAUGCCCACUCAAGAGCCAAACAGGCCAAGUCAACUGCAGCAUAGGCAAAAACAACACAAUGCGGAACAUUGAGAGGACGGUUGGCACCAUAACGCCGAAAAACGUGUUCAGUUUUCGAGGAGUCUGAUUUGGUGUCCCAGAGCUGGAUUCCAGGUUGGGGUCCGUAUCCGUGCCACAUACCGCUGCA